rnacentral:rRNA from 1 species
AUAAGGCCAAGCUACAAGAGUGUAUGGUGGAUGCCUUGGCGCCAGAAGUCUAAGAAGGACGUGAUAAGCUGCGAUAAGUCCGGGGUAGGAGCAAAUAUCCUUUGAUCCCGGAAUUUCCGAAUGGGGAAACCCUUUCCGAUAAAAUCGGAAAAUCUCUUAGCGAAGGCCCCUGCGACAGCAGGGGAGAUGUGUUAAGAGAAGACAACCCAGGGAAGUGAAACAUCUCAGUACCUGGUGGAAAAGAAAUCAACGAGAUUCCGUAAGUAGUGGCGAGCGAAAGCGGAACAGCCUAAACCCGAACAGCUUGCUGUUCGGGGGUUGUAGGGCUCAUCCGGUUUAGAGCCGUGAGGUUAAAAUCGUCAGCUAGCUGAAGAGCUCUGGAAAGAGCCGCUAAAAAAGGUGAUAGCCCUGUAAGCAAAAGCGAAGCGACCUCAGAUGAGUUCCUGAGUACUGCUGGGCACGUGAAAUCCGGCAGGAAUCCGGGGAGACCACUCUCCAAGGCUAAAUACUCACUGGCGACCGAUAGUGAACGAGUACCGCGAGGGAAAGGCGAAAAGAACCCGUGACCGGGAGUGAAAUAGAACCUGAAACCAUGCAUUUACAAGCUGUCGAAGCGCUAUGCUUUAAUAGCAAUAUUAAGGAAUGCGCGACGGCGUGCCUGUUGAAGAAUGAUCCAGCGAGUUACUUGGUACGAGCAAGGUUAAGUCCUUAAGGGACGGAGCCGCAGCGAAAGCGAGUCUGAAUAGGGCGAUUAGUUCGUAUCAGUAUACUCGAAGCCAAGUGAUCUAACCCUGGGCAGGAUGAAGUCACCUUAACCGGUGAUGGAGGUCCGAAGUGUUGAACGUUGAAAAGUUCCUACAUGACCUGGGGUUAGGGGUGAAAGGCUAAUCGAACUUGGUGAUAGCUAGUUCUCCCCGAAAUAGCUAUAGGGCUAGCGUCGUAUGUUAAACCGCGGGGGUAGAGCACUGAAUGAUGUAGGCUCUGCGACCCAGGGUCCGAAUUCAAUCAAACUCCGAAUACCGCGGCGGAUUGUACGGCAGUCAGUUCGUGAGGGAAAAGCUUCACGUGCAAAAGGGAAACAGCCCGGAUCGUCGAAUAAGGUCCCAAAGUUUACGCUAAGUGGUAAAGGAUGUGGAUUUACAUAAACAGCUAGGAGGUUGGCUUAGAAGCAGCCACCCUUUAAAGAGUGCGUAACAGCUCACUAGUCUAGCGAAUCCGCGCCGAAAAUGACACGGGGCUAAGCGUAACACCGAAGUCACGAAUUUGCUCAGGUUCGCCCUGAGCAAGUGGUAGGGGAGCGUUCUUAACGCAGCGAAGGCGUACCGUAAGGAGCGCUGGAGCGUUACGAAGUGAGGAUGCUGGAAUAAGUAGCGAUAAACAAGGUGAGAAUCCUUGUCGCCGAAAGCCUAAGGGUUCCUUGAGCAAUGUUCGUCAGCUCAGGGUUAGUCGGGCCUAAGUCGAGGCCGAAAGGCGUAGAUGAAGGACAUCAGGUUAAUAUUCCUGAACUACAGUGGACGCGUCAUCACCCAAGGGGGGACGCAGAAGGGUAAGCUUACCGGAUAAUGGUUGUUCCGGGGAAAGGUCGUAGGCAGAUUCGCCAGGAAAAUCCGGCGGGUCGUUAAACCGAAAGCCGAGACGAGUGCGGGAAACCGCGCAAAGUGGCCCAACCACGCUGCCGAGAAAAACCUCGUGGGGAGUUUCUACUGUACCCGUACCGCAAACCGACACAGGUAGGCGAGCUGAAUAUGCUAAGGCGCGCGAGAUAACCUACGUUAAGGAACUAGGCAAACUAACCCCGUAACUUCGGAAGAAGGGGUGCCCCGGUAGCGUUUUAGAUGUCAAAGUUUAGAAUGCGAAAGGGUCGCAGUGAAAUGGGCAUCGUGACUGUUUAACAAAAACUUAGGGCUGUGCUGAAAUCGCAAGAUGACGUAUACGGCCUGAUGCCUGCCCGGUGCUGGAAGGUCAAGGGGAGGAGUUAGCCGCAAGGCGAAGCUUCGAACUUAAGCCCCAGUAAACGGCGGCGGUAACUAUAACCGUCCUAAGGUAGCGAAAUUCCUUGUCGGGUAAGUUCCGACCUGCACGAAUGGCAUAACAAAGAUGCCGCUGUCUCAACGUAGGGCUCGGCGAAAUUGUGGUGCAAGUGAAGACGCUUGCUGCACGCAGCUAGACGACAAGACCCCGUGGAGCUUUACUGUAUCUUGUUAUUGGAUUACGGUUUUGAAUGCGUAGGAUAGGUGGGAGCCGGUGAUGUUCGGGUUUUGGCCCGAGCGGAGGCGACGGUGAAAUACCACCCUUUUGAAAUUGUGAUUCUAACUCCGUAGCCGCAGAUCCGGCCGGAGGACAGUGGCAGGUGGGCAGUUUGACUGGGGCGGUCGCCUCCCAAAGAGUAACGGAGGCGUCCAAAGGUUCCCUCAAGGCGUAUAGAAAUCGCCUUUCGAGCGCAAGGGUAGAAGGGAGCUUGACUGUAAGGCCGACGGGCCGAGCAGGUACGAAAGUAGGGCCUAGUGAUCCGGUGGUACCUCGUGGGAGGGCCAUCGCUCAACGGAUAAAAGCUACCCCGGGGAUAACAGGCUGAUCUGGUCCAAGAGUCCAUAUCGACGACCAGGUUUGGCACCUCGAUGUCGGCUCAUCGCAUCCUCCCGCUGAAGCAGGUGGGAAGGGUUGGGCUGUUCGCCCAUUAAAGCGGUACGUGAGCUGGGUUCAGUACGUCGUGAGACAGUACGGUCUCUAUCUGCUGUGUGCGUAGGAAACUUGAGGGGAGCUGUCUACAGUACGAGAGGACCUAGAUGGACGAACCUCCCGUAUUCCGGCUGUCCUGCCAAGGGCAUAAGCCGGGUAGCGGUGUUCGGUAGGGAUAAACGCUGAAAGCAUCUAAGCGUGAAACCCGCUCCAAGAUUAGGUUUCCCAUCCCGCAAGGGAGUAAGGACCCCACAAGACUAGUGGGUUGAUAGACGGGCGGUGUAAGCUCCGUAAGGAGUUCAGCCAACCCGCACUAAUAGUCCGAGGGCUUGGCCUUAUUUUUC